GGGCUGGGCUCGGGGGGCAGCGGAGCCGGCUACGGCAGCCCCGGAGUCUCCUGUUCCAGGCAGCGCGCACCGCUCUCAGCCUGAGCGCGUCACAGCAGCUGCAGGGCUCUGCACCCUUAUUAUUGGCUCUUACCAAUAGUGGCCCCAGGAGACCAGAUGGAUGGAGGGGGCAAAAGGUGUCAAGAGGAACAGGAUGAGUGGCACAACAAUCAUUUUUAUGCACUUGUUUAACAAGUAGCAUUUUACAUACCACAGGAGCUUCAGGUGGAGCUAUUCGGAGACCCUGCGAGAAGAUGCCAGCAAAGUUGGUAGCGCGGGAGCCAUGCCAGAGCAGCUGGCGAUUAUGAAGCUGCCUGAACGGUUUGUAACGCUGAUUUUCUCCUUCACGUUCAAUCUUGAAGAUCUUUACCAUUUUAAAGAGAGAGAAAGGAAAAUAAAAAUCUCAUGGUUAAUUGGCGCAUGGCAAGAUGGUCUGAUCUUGAAAAUGGGUUAAUCUGUGCUAGGAAAGUUAACAUACUAAGAGAAGCAAACUUCAUACUGUUUUCAUACUGUCAUAAUCUAACUCCAGCAGCCAGUUAUCUAUAGCAAAGGUUACACCAGGACAUUUCAUUACACGUUAUUUCCCCUAAGUGCUAGGCAUAAGCAGACUCAAGGGGGCCCCCCUUUGCUUUUUUAGAAUGUGUUGGGGGAAAGGGGUCACCAAAAUAUUCCUUCGUAGGGCUCCGAGUGGGCUAGCACCACCUCUGUUCCCCAACCCCCUCUACUUUUUAUUGCUCACAACAUUCUGAAUAAUUCUCCUUUGGGGCUGAAAUUUUCCAGCUUUCAGGGCAAAAGGUGAUUUUCCCCCUGGAUUUAUUAAGAGACAAAUGAAAAUAAAGACAUUUUGACAGCAAGAAAUGUCUAAAAACUUAGAUUUGAAAAUUCCUCCCCAGCUCACCUUGAGAUUUUGUUGUAUUCACUCAUGUAACAAGUACUUUCUAUAACAGAAGCUCAGUAGUUAAUCAACACACAAAAGAGCCAUGGAAGAAAGCAAAAGUGUAUAAACCAAUUUUAUACACCUAACUCCCCACCCCUUCAAAACUUACAUCCACAACUUUCAGAUCAUAUGCAUUAUGGGUAGAGGCAUGUGUAUUCUUCACAUACUGCUUUAUGAUCUUGGCUUCUUCUGAAUCUUUAUCAAUAACCUGGGAGGAAAGAGCAGAACACAAAAGGUUUCCUUUAAAAAUGCAGAUUAAUGUGAGCCUGUUAGGUCAUUUUGGGGACUGAAAAAUUCAUCCUGCAGUUGGUGGCUCCCCCGACUAAAUCUCUUAUUUAUCACUAGGAAAGACAUGUCUAGGGCAUCGUAAGACGUUUUUUGGCCAAAAUCAAAGGAUCCUCUCUGUGUGAGUUGAAGGGUGACACAAUCUGGUACUGGAGGCUUUGGAGAGACAGGGAUAUAUGGGCUUUCCCAUUCCACCCUUCAGGAACACAAACGGGAUUAGAAUUAAGAGACUUUUUUUGUAUAGAUGGUGGAGUGAAUACAGACAUAUACAAUGGUAUACUGGGAGCUCAACAUGGGGCAUGGUUUGUUCCCUGCUAGAGUGGAAAGCUGUAUUUUUAGUUUACCAGCAGUACCUUAUUCAUCUGUUAUACUCCAUACGAAUGGGUGCCAAGUUCUUAUUCACAGCCAGUGACCACAGUCUACUAUUCUAUUUCAUUUACCUUAAUGUUAGUUUUGAGCUUUUCGUAGUUGAUGUCAAUUGGGUCUUUAUCCCCAUCUUCAUUUCCACCUCUGAGAAGGCUGUAAGCGACCUCAAUAUCAAGCAGGUUGUCUAACAUCUGCACUUUGGCCUGGAUAAUUUGAAGAGGUUAUUUUUCUUGCCAUAGGAAAGUCUUUACAGCCUUAAGACCUUGUCCUGCAGUUGCUAUGAGCAUGUUAAUGCCGAGAUAUUUAUAAAUGUCUGUGCACCACUGCCACAACACUUGGGUGGCUCACCCAAGCUAUCUAUAGAACUUUCCUGUUAACAAAAACCCACCUAUCUCUAUUAUAAAAUCAAUACAGCACCUAGGCAAAUGGAUCUGACACUUUUCUUUAAGCUACCCACCCCAGGCUCCAAAGGAGGGUGCAGAUUUCAGAAGCCCUCCCCUGUUCUGCUGCCAGCUAUGGAGAUUUUAAGCUCCAGAACAGAGAGCUCAAGCAAACUGGCAAGUUUCUUCAUCCUCUGCAGAGGGUCAUGGGGAGAUAAGCAAUUUCGCAGACAAGUGGAUCCAAGGCUGUGAUGUCAAAAGCAUUUCAGUAUCCAUGAGGAUUGUGUAGAACCUACAUUAAAACCUGCAAUUCCUACUUUAAGGUCAAGCUCUACAUCUUUCUCUGCUUUCACAAAGCUAAAAACAAAUCCCCUCAGUUUUCCCCUUUUCAUUCAGUUUUGCUACUUUAAAACUUUACAUCAGUAGAUCCUUUGGCAAAGAUAUGCAACGGAAUAUGGGCGGGAGUCAGGCCUGAAAACCUAAAGCUAUCCCACUCAUGCAGAGGAUGAAUUUGGCCCAGAAUCUCUUUAGCUGUAUAUAAGCCACAAAGCCUAUGAAGUGAUGGUUAAGAGCUAGUUCAGCCUUUGUUAUGCAAAGCACAGGGGACAAUUCUUCAGACAUUUCUGGAUAACAGCUAAGCCAACUUAAACAGCACAGAAAGAAGCCUACAUACUUAAAACACAAAGCUACACUAUUAUAGUCACAGCCUUGCAGUGUCAAAUAGGAUUGCGAACAGUUCUGUUCCAAACAAUGAAGCAACGGUCACUUUUAAGUUGACUUAGUUAAAUUCCUAGAAGAAAGUGUUUCCUCAUUCACACUUAAAAUGCAAACCUUCUUCAUUUGAAUAUCAGGUGCCAGAGCUGCUUUCCACAAUAAAUAUCCUAAGUUUCAUUGAUACCUGGAUAUGUUCUAGGUUAUUUAAGAGAGGUGGUUUCUUCAUCCCAAAGUCAUGAGGUAUCAGGGUAUAGAAGCGAUUGGAGAGAUCCAGUAUCUGAGAAUCACUGCCACCAUCAGACACUGCCUAAAUGAGAAGAAGAGAAACGAAUUCUGGGAAAGAUCCAUGCAACAAUAGAUGCAUUCAAGGUACUUGUUCGGAAAGGCUAGAAAAAAGAAACGUUAACAAUACAAGAACAGCGAAACAUAACCAAAGUGAUUUUAAUGCUGAAACCGACUUAAAUGAAUAAAGGGACAGUCCUGUUAAAUCACUUUCCAUGUUCCAAAUCAAAAUACCUACAGCAAUACAAUCUGGUAAAGGAACAACUGAUAAAGGAAUAAGCUUGUUCGGGGAAAAAAAAAACAAAAAAAACAGGUUCUGGUACACUAAAACAAACUGCAAUAAAACCAUAAGUGCAGACGUGCUGACUGAGUGAACCAGAGAACAACUGAAUGAGUCAUUUUGUUGCAGCAAGCAGCCGACGUGCAUUUAUAUGAAGUCUGGAAGUGCCCCUCUGCAUGCCUCUUUUGGGUACCAUACAGAGGACUUUUGUGAGCUCUCUGGGCAAUACCGACUAGCGAUCCUUGCAAUGCUCCAAAUCAUUAGCAACAGUGCCUUACAGCACCCAGAACAGAUGAGCACUACAGCACAUCUAAAUGUAUUAUUAAGUAAACAGCUUAGAACCUCAUCUUGGAAUGCAGUGAACAGGAGUAACUCCACAAACUUCAGUGGAUUAAUCCCGCAUUUACACCAGCAGCGGAUUUGGUCCUGUUUUAGGCCAUGUCUACACCAGAGGCGCUCCAGCGGCAUAGCUACGGCAUCACAGCUAGGCCUCUUGUAACCCUGUAGUGUAGACACAGACUAUGGUGAUUGAAGGGGCUUUUCUAUUGGUGUAGGAACUCCACUUCCCUGAGACACAGCAGUUAGGUCGUCAGAGGCAUUCUUCUGUCAACCUAGCUGCAUCUACACCAGGGGUUAGGUCAGCAUAGAUAUGGUGUUCAGGAAAGUGGAUUUUUUUAUACCCCAAGCGCUGCAGCUAUGUUUUAAGUGUAGACCAGGUUUAACUUUACAUACUCCUCUACCACAUGCUUAAAAUGCUCUUCUUCCUAAAGAACAAAUCAGGUCUAUUUACACUAUAACACUGUAAUUAGUUGCAUAUUCACACUAUGUCCUCGUAGGGCUGGUCUGCACUGGAAACUUACAUUGGCAGAGCUGUGUCUCGUGUGUGUGAAAAAUGCACGCCUGAGAGAUGUAGCUAUGCCGACCUAAUCCCGGUAUAGGCAGCACAAGGUAGACAAAAAAUUCUUCUGUUGUCCUAGCUACUGCCCCUUGGGAAAGUGGAUUAACUACAGUGAUGAAAGAACCCCUCCCGUUGCUGUAGUGAGUGUCUACACUGAAGCACUGCAGCUGUGUCACCGUAGCAUCUUAAGUGUAGACAGCCUCAGAUACAGACACCACGGGUUAAUUCAAGAAGAAUGAAGCAGCUCCUUUACUGCAACAUAAAACUUGCUGGUUCCUGAAGAAAGAGAUGGGAAGACUUACAUUUUUAAUCAGAUAAAGCAGGAUUGUCUGAAGAACUCUCCUUGAAUCAAUGCUCAAGUUCUUUAAAAGCAGUAGAGUAGUUUUCAUCCUGUCUGGAUUCACACUGACAGGUUCCACCUCUAUAAAGCACACUGCUCUUCUAAAGCAAUGUUAGAAAGUCACUGCACUUUGACUUCCAGCUACACUGCACUUUACGUGAUCUAACCUGGGAACUGGCCAUCCUGUCUUCUCCCCUGCCCCCACCAAACAGGUGGAAUGUGUUAGUUAUCCUGCUAGAAUUUUGGUGAGAGUUGCCUCCAUAAAUUAAAACCCGGACAAUUGUUUAUGAACGA